AUGGCAGCGCUGCAGAGGCCGAGUAUGGCGACGGCUACCGCGUCUGCGUGCAUCCCGGAGACGGCGCGGGGCACGCACGUGUUCACGGUCGCCGGCUACAGGCUGCACAAGGGCCUCGGCGCCGGCAAUUUCAUAAGGUCCUCCACCUUCACCGUGGGCGGCUACGACUGGUGCAUCCGCUACUACCCCGACAGAUACACUUCUGACACCAAGCGCUAUGUUGCGGUCUACGUCGAGCUCCAGAGCAAGAAAUCCGUGGUGAGGGCGCUGUACGACCUCAAGCUCACCAACCAGGCCACCAUCCCGGUGCCGCCGUCGGACCUGUCCAACAAUCUCGCAAAGCUGCUGGAGGGGAAGAAAGGAGCGGACGUGGUGAUCAAAGUCCGCAGGGAGACCUUCUAUGCGCACAAGAUCGUGCUGGCGAUGCGGUCACCGGUCUUCGACACAGAACUAUACGGGCCAAUGUGGGACGAGGAGAAACAGUGUCUACAGAUCGCCGACAUGGAGCCUGAUGUAUUCAGAGCACUGCUUCACUUCAUAUAUACAGAUUCGUUGCCUGCCAUGGAUGAUGACAACAACAAGGUGGCUGCAGACAGGUAUGCCAUGGGAAGGAUGAAGCUCAUGUGUGAGAGCAUCCUGUGCAAGAGCCUCGAUGCCAAGAGCGUCGUCGCCACAUUGGCUCUAGCUGACCAGUAUCAUUGCACCAAGCUUAGAGAAGCUUGCAUUGACUAUAUCAAACUCUUCAAUUAG
rnacentral:rRNA from 1 species